CACCCACAUGGAUGGAGUUUUGGGAUCUUGGAGGUGUUUCUGUUUAUUACGGAAGGUUGGACUAGAAAAUCCCUUCCAAACCAUCCCAUGGAACCUCAGACCCUCCAUGACUUUCUGGUGGUGAGGGAUGGGAAGAGAGCCCUUCCCAGGUGUGUUAAAUCAGGAGUGUGGGUGGAUCCAUCCGGGAAAAGGAGAGGAAUGUGGGGAAAUGGCAGCAGCUCUGGAGGCUUUGUCCAUCUGCCUGAGGGAUGGGAAAGUGCAGGGAGUGCCUGAUGUGUCCUCAAUGGGAAUUUCCAGUCUCAGCAUGGAAACACAGAGGAAUUACCCAGCUGGGCCUCCUGGAUGCAGCUCUGGGAAUGGGAUGAUCCUCAUGGGUGUCUGUGUUGUGUCCAGGGAUCCCAGCGAGUCAGGAGUUGGACAAACCCCUCGGGAAUGCGCCCCUGGAUGAAGGAGCACAGGGCCAGAAGGUUCCUUUCCUGGGAGGAGAGGGGAUCUCAGGAACGAUUCUGCCAUGGGCUACAAAACAUCAAAGUCAAUCUUUUUCCUGCUUCUCUCCCAGAAACCAACAGCUCUGAAAUGGAGUCCCUGGAUGCAGAGCUGCCUUCAGGGCAGCACAAGCUUGUUAUAACAGGCUAGAACAAAAUAAAUAUUAUUGGAUUGGAAAAUCCAUUUACUUUUCCCAGCUUAAUGUAAAAAAGGAACAAAUUAAGGGUCAACUCCCAAUGUUCUAAGAACCACUUGUUUCAAAGAACAAACCCCUCCAGCUUGUUCACCUUUAAUCCUCUUUGGAUCAAUCCCUCUCUGCUCUGCAGCUGAGACUUCAAAUUCAGCAAUUUUCCUUUGCUUUCACUGGACAGGGAGCUGGGAUAUUUUUUGACCUGCUGGA